UGGGGAAUAUUGCACAAUGGGCGCAAGCCUGAUGCAGCCAUGCCGCGUGUAUGAAGAAGGCCUUCGGGUUGUAAAGUACCUUCAGCGGGGAGGAAGGGAGUAAAGUUAAUACCUUUGCUCAUUGACGUUACCCGCAGAAGAAGCACCGGCUAACUCCGUGCCAGCAGCCGCGGUAAUACGGAGGGUGCAAGCGUUAAUCGGAAUUACUGGGCGUAAAGCGCACGCAGGCGGUUUGUUAAGUCAGAUGUGAAAUCCCCGGGCUCAACCUGGGAACUGCAUCUGAUACUGGCAGGCUUGAGUCUCGUAGAGGGGGGUAGAAUACCUGGUGUAGCGGUGAAAUGCGUAGAGAUCUGGAGGAAUACCGGUGGCGAAGGCAGCCCCCUGGACGAAGACUGACGCUCAGGUGCGAAAGCGUGGGGAGCAAACAGG
rnacentral:rRNA from 1 species